rnacentral:rRNA from 1 species
GACGAACGCUGGCGGCGUGCUUAACACAUGCAAGUCGAACGGAAAGGCCCCUUUGGGGGUACUCGAGUGGCGAACGGGUGAGUAACACGUGAGUAACCUGCCCUUGACUUCGGGAUAACUUCAGGAAACUGGGGCUAAUACCGGAUAGGAAUCCUUGCUGCAUGGUGGGGGUUGGAAAGCUUCGGCGGUUUUGGGUGGACUCGCGGCUUAUCAGCUUGUUGGGUGGGUAGUGGCUUACCAAGGCUUUGACGGGUAGCCGGCCUUAGAGGGCGACCGGCCACAUUGGGACUGAGAUACGGCCCAGACUCCUACGGGAGGCAGCAGUGGGGAAUAUUGCACAAUGGGCGGAAGCCUGAUGCAGCAACGCCGCGUGCGGGAUGACGGCCUUCGGGUUGUAAACCGCUUUCAGCAGGGGCGAAGCUUGUGGUGACGGUACCUGCAGAAGAAGCACCGGCUAACUACGUG